rnacentral:rRNA from 1 species
UACAGAGGGUGCGAGCGUUGUCCGGAAUCACUGGGCGUAAAGGGCGCGUAGGCGGCCUGAUAAGUAGGGGGUGAAAUCCUGUGGCUUAACUGCAGGGCUGCCUCCUAGACUGUUAGGCUCGAGCACGGUAGAGGCAGAUGGAAUUCCCGGUGUAGCGGUGGAAUGCGUAGAGAUCGGGAAGAACAUCGGUGGCGAAGGCGGUCUGCUGGGCCGUGGCUGACGCUGAGACGCGAAAGCGUGGGGAGCAAACAGG